GAAGAAAAAAAAUUAACAUACAAAAUUAAACCUGGGUUACAUCGACGCAAGGCCAGGACGGUGGCAGAAGGGCUGGCAGGUAACUCUUGGGCACAUGAUAUACAAGGGGUCCUGGGUCUGCACGAGAUCGGCCAAUACAUGCUGCUGUGGCAGGCUGUGUGCCACACCAUCCUGACGAACGAGCCGGAUCGCCUGCUCUGGAGGUGGACCACCAAUGGCAUCUACUCGGCGCGCUCGUGUUAUGCGGCCAGUUUUCAGGGAUCCACACGGUGCCAUUCUUGGAAGCUGGUAUGGAAGAGCUGGGCGCCACCACGGGUAAAAAAUUUCCAUUGGCUUGCCGCCCAGGAUCGCUGCUGGACUGCAGAAAGGCUUGCACGACGUGGCUUGCAGCAUCACCCUCGAUGCCUCCUUUGCGACCAGGCCUUGGAAACUAUCCAGCACCUGCUGCUGACCUGCCCCUUUGCACGUCAGACC
rnacentral:rRNA from 1 species